AAAUCAGGUAGGACUACCCGCUGAACUUAAGCAUAUCAAUAAACCGGAGGCGA
rnacentral:rRNA from 1 species